UGGGGAGCAAACAGGAUUAGAUACCUGGUAGUCCACGCCGUAAACGAUGAGUGCUAAGUGUUAGGGGGUUUCCCCCCUUAGUGCUGCAGCUAACGCAUUAAGCACUCCGCUGGGGAGUACGACCGCAAGGUUGAAACUCAAAGGAAUUGACGGGGGCCCGCACAAGCGGUGGAGCAUGUGGUUUAAUUCGAAGCAACGCGAAGAACCUUACCAGGUCUUGACAUCCUUUGACAACUCUAGAGAUAGAGCUUUCCCUUUGGGGACAAAGUGACAGGUGGUGCAUGGUUGUCGUCAGCUCGUGUCGUGAGAUGUUGGGUUAAGUCCCGCAACGAGCGCAACCCUUAUUGUUAGUUGCCAUCAUUCAGUUGGGCACUCUAGCGAAACUGCCGGUGACAAACCGGAGGAAGGUGGGGAUGACGUCAAAUCAUCAUGCCCCUUAUGACCUGGGCUACACACGUGCUACAAUGGACAGUACAAUGAGCAGCGACACGGCGACGUGAAGCGAAUCUCAUAAAGCUGUUCUCAGUUCGGAUUGUAGGCUGCAACUCGCCUACAUGAAGCCGGAAUCGCUAGUAAUCGCGGAUCAGCACGCCGCGGUGAAUACGUUCCCGGGCCUUGUACACACCGCCCGUCACACCACGAAAGUUUGUAACACCCAAAGUCGGUGAGGUAACCUUCGGGAGCCAGCCGCCUAAGGUGGGAUAGAUGAUUGGGGUGAAGUCGUAACAAGGUAACCA
rnacentral:rRNA from 1 species